rnacentral:rRNA from 1 species
AUGUCCACCACCACCGCCGCCAUGACGGCCAGCACCAUGGGCACGCUCACCACAUCAUCAUCAUCCGCUUUUGCCUCCUCCUCCACCUCCACCAACACCUCCCUGCUCGGAUCGCCACCUCAAGAGAAGCUUACGAGGGGAAAUUUCCUUCUCUGGAAAGCCAUAGUGCUGCCCCAGAUCAAGGGGGCCCAGAUGGAACACCACCUCAACCCGGAGAGCCCGCCACCCCCGGCCACGCUCACCAUCACCAAGGACGGGACGGACACACAGGUAGUCAACUUCGCUCGAUCCCUCUGGUAUGCACAGCAGCAGCAGCUCCAAGGAUUCUUGAUGGGAUCCCUAUCUCGCGAGAUCCUCGCCCAGGUCGCCACGCUCUCCACGCCGGCCGAAGUAUGGACGGCGAUCCAUGCUAUGUUUGCUGCCCAAAGCCAAGCUCAAGCAAUCAACACCCGCAUUGAGCUCACAAAUCUUCAAAAAGGUAACAUGUCUAUGGUAGAAUACCUUGGCAAAAUUAAAAGUCUUACCGAUGAGGUCGCCUGCACUGCCGCCACGCUCUCCGAUCCGGAGAUCGUGUCCAAGAUCCUCGCCGGCCUCGACAUGGACUACAAUCCUGUGUUCUCCGCCCUCGCCGCUCGGGUGGAGCCGAUCACCGUACAAGAGCUGUACAAUCAGCUCCUCAGCUUCGACGCCCGCCUCAGCCUCCUUCACGGCGCCAACAUCCGCCAGUCGUCUGCCAACUCCGUCUCUCGCGGCCGCGGUCGUGGGCGCGGUCACCAGGGGCAACGCAGCGGCGGCCGCGGGCGCAGCACCGCCGACUACUCCAACAACGGCAGUGCUGGCUACACCAACACCGGCGGCAGCGGCGACAGCAACUACAACAACAGGGCCGGGGGUGGUGGCUUCCACAACAACAACAGCCGCCGCCCUCCUCCUUCUUCCCGAGCACGUCCUCGCUGCCAACUCUGCAAGAAGCCGGGCCAUGAGGUAAUGGACUGCUGGCAUCGCUAUGACGAGAACUUCGUCCUCGAUGCUAAGCAUGUUGCUGCGGCCAUGCGUGAACAUGGAGGAGAAGGGGUGUGGUACGUGGAUUCUGGUGCCACGGAUCACGUCAAAGCGAGCUAG